GACGAACGCUGGCGGCGUGCUUAACACAUGCAAGUCGAGCGGUAAGGCCCUUUCGGGGGUACACGAGCGGCGAACGGGUGAGUAACACGUGGGUGACCUGCCCUCAGCUCUGGGAUAAGCCUGGGAGACCGGGUCUAAUACCGGAUAUGACUCCAUGACGCAUGUUGUGGGGUGGAAAGCCUUGUGCGGCUGAGGAUGGGCCCGCGGCCUAUCAGCUUGUUGGUGGGGUGANGGCCUACCAAGGCGACGACGGGUAGCCGGCCUGAGAGGGCGACCGGCCACACUGGGACUGAGACACGGCCCAGACUCCUACGGGAGGCAGCAGUGGGGAAUCUUGCGCAAUGGGCGAAAGCCUGACGCAGCGACGCCGCGUGAGGGAU
rnacentral:rRNA from 1 species